AACACAAAUUUACUAAGUUAAGCAACAUUGUUAACAACAUGAGAUCGGUAUAAAAGGAAAAAUUUUAUGUGAAUGAUGUGUCCUUUUUUCCCUUUGCCCAUAGAGAGGGUUUGCCUCCCUGAAGAGAGAAACACAGUGACUUAAGUUUGGGGGCAACACAGUGGAUUCAGGAGCAAUCCUAGUUCAUCUCUGUGUGUUUUUGAUAAAUUGUGAAAUCGUUGUAGUAGAAUUUACCUGUACAUUUAUUCUGAACAGUAACUGAAUUAAUUCACUGGCAGCCAUUUUUCAGGGCAAGAAGUCUACGUAAACAUUGGUUCAAAUAAAUUGAAGGAGAGGGCAAUUUCGCAUCACAGGGAAAAGAAUCAUGCCGUUAUUCUUAGUUUGCCAAGGGAGAGUGGAAUAGAAGCACCACGGAUGUGUCUGUUACGGCAAUUUGUGAAGGUCACACAAUUAGUUAUUUAUUGAACUUAUAUUUGAACCAAGAUCUGCCUGAUUCCCAUAUUCAGGUAAUUUCCACUAUACUGUACUGUGAAUUCCAAUCUUAUUAACAAGCAACACAAACAUGCAACUCCUGAUAAAAGUGCUCUCGUCAUGAAGAAUCUUGGGCUAUUUCUUUGGCAGGAAGGCUGACAGGAAUGAUGUCAGAGCCCCAUUUUUCUUUGCCUGGAUCUCAACUAAGAAUCCUUGAACAAAUUCAUUUUCCAUGGCUAUCCCAUAGCUUUCUACCUAGAGAAAUAUUGGUAGUUUAAGAAAAAGCUUAAAGAGUAGUAAAUUAAUCAGAAAGCUUUUGAUAUUUAAUAUAAAUUUGAGAAAAAAAAAUUGGAGUUCCUGUCGUAGCUCAGUGGAAACGAAUCUAAUAGCCAUGAGGACACAGGUUCGAUCCCUGGCCUCUCUGUGGGUUAAGAAUCUGGCAGUUCAGUGAGCUGUGGUCUAGGUCGCAGAUGCGGCUUGGAUCCCGCGUUGCUGUGGCUGUGGUGUAGGCUGACAGCUAUAGCUCCAAUUCAACCCCCUAGCCUGGGAACCUCCCUAUGCCGUGGGUGCAGCCCUAAAAAAACAGAAAAAAAUAAAUAAAAUCAUAAAUAAGUAAACAAAUUGAUUUGAAGGCGGAGCUUUGUAAGCUUGUUACAUGUCCCACAAAUGUACUCUAAUUGUUUGGGGAACAAAAGCAGGAAAUUCUCUGAUCCCUAAGCCCAGUUUGCCUCUGAAUCUGCCUUUGCCAAGCUCUUCACUCUGUAAUGUCCUCAGACUCAGAAUCUUUCUACACCUCUUCCUCUUUUAUCAUUUACCACCUAUUCUGUUCUUAGCUUCCCUGCAUCUUUUCCCUAGAGGAACUUCUGAUCUGGUCUCCUAGCUUCUAGGAGAACCUAUCCGUUUCCUCCUGGAAAUAUUCUAUCCACUGGAAAUUAUUUUUUCUUUCCAUAACAUUGGAGGAAAAACUAAAUCUCCAUCCAUCCUAGAUUUGUCUGUCGCGCUUCUUUUCUGGAUUGAAAACCAACUGCCCUGGAUUAAAUUGCUCUUAAGCAGAGGUUCUAAACACAGAUGCCCUGUUUGGGAGGUGUGGGUAGAGAGAGGCUCACCACAUCUUUCUGCGUGGGCGUGACUUUUCUCUCUCUUAAGAAAUGGCCAUUUUUCAAAUCAAAAGAAAGACCACAGAGAAACCGAAGGCCCUGACAGUCAUCACGGGUUACUUGUGCACAGGAUUUUUCAGUAGGAUGGAUGUUCUGUGUAAAGGCAACUUUAACCCAAUUUACUUAAUAGGGCGUAAUAUGGGGUUUUGAAAUAGUAAACCCAACAGUAAUUGGCUUCCCUAGCAAAAAAAAAAAAA
rnacentral:lncRNA from 1 species